CCCAAUGUCUGUUAUCCGAAUCACCUUACUGGAUUUUGCCUGUGAUCUGAGUAACUUUAUUGUUUCAGAUUUGUCGAUAUAGUAACCCCAAACAGCUUAAACAUUCGUACCUUGGGCAUUUGCUCAAAUGAUUCAGUUUGUACCAUAGUAUAUAUCUUUCAUGGCUUAUGGAGUAUAUUCUAUGCAAAGUUUCAUGUCUGGUCUUGUUGAGUGCAGAAAACUUACAGUGUUUCCAGCACUCAAAC
rnacentral:lncRNA from 1 species